rnacentral:ncRNA from 1 species
CAAUAUAAAGGCACUUUAGGUUCUUGUUGUAAAGACAUAAUAGGGAAGUCGGUGUAAGUCCGGCGCGGUCCCGCCACUGUAACGAACAAGGCGCUUGUUUUCUGCCACUGGGUUUCAUCCUGGGAAGGCCUCAAGCACCAACGAGUAUAGCAUUCGAGAGUUCGAAGCCAGGAGACCUGCCUAAAGCUGCUGCUAGAC